rnacentral:rRNA from 1 species
AGAACGCUGAAGCUUGGUGCUUGCACCGAGCGGAUGAGUUGCGAACGGGUGAGUAACGCGUAGGUAACCUGCCUCUUAGCGGGGGAUAACUAUUGGAAACGAUAGCUAAUACCGCAUAAAAGUCGAUAUCGCAUGAUGUUGACUUGAAAGGUGCAAAUGCAUCACUAAGAGAUGGACCUGCGUUGUAUUAGCUAGUUGGUGAGGUAACGGCUCACCAAGGCGACGAUACAUAGCCGACCUGAGAGGGUGAUCGGCCACACUGGGACUGAGACACGGCCCAGACUCCUACGGGAGGCAGCAGUAGGGAAUCUUCGGCAAUGGGGGCAACCCUGACCGAGCAACGCCGCGUGAGUGAAGAAGGUUUUCGGAUCGUAAAGCUCUGUUGUAAGAGAAGAACGAGUGUGAGAGUGGAAAGUUCACGCUGUGACGGUAUCUUACCAGAAAGGGACGGCUAACUACGUGCCAGCAGCCGCGGUAAUACGUAGGUCCCGAGCGUUAUCCGGAUUUAUUGGGCGUAAAGCGAGCGCAGGCGGUUAGAUAAGUCUGAAGUUAAAGGCUGUGGCUUAACCAUAGUACGCUUUGGAAACUGUUUAACUUGAGUGCAGAAGGGGAGAGUGGAAUUCCAUGUGUAGCGGUGAAAUGCGUAGAUAUAUGGAGGAACACCGGUGGCGAAAGCGGCUC